rnacentral:rRNA from 1 species
GACGAACGCUGGCGGCGUGCUUAACACAUGCAAGUCGAACGGAAAGGCCCUGCUUUUGUGGGGUGCUCGAGUGGCGAACGGGUGAGUAACACGUGAGUAACCUGCCCUUGACUUUGGGAUAACUUCAGGAAACUGGGGCUAAUACCGGAUAGGAGCUCCUGCUGCAUGGUGGGGGUUGGAAAGUUUCGGCGGUUGGGGAUGGACUCGCGGCUUAUCAGCUUGUUGGUGGGGUAGUGGCUUACCAAGGCUUUGACGGGUAGCCGGCCUGAGAGGGUGACCGGCCACAUUGGGGAUUAGAUUCGGCCCAGAACCCUACGGGGGGGCAGCAGUGGGGAAUAUUGCACAAUGGGCGGAAGCCUGAUGCAGCAACGCCGCGUGCGGGAUGACGGCCUUCGGGUUGUAAACCGCUUUCGCCUGUGACGAAGCGUGAGUGACGGUAAUGGGUAAAGAAGCACCGGCUAACUACGUG